rnacentral:lncRNA from 1 species
GUUGGAAAAUAUAAACUCUAUUUGUAGAAAAUAUAUAAAAGAACAAAUGGAGAAAGAGAGCUGCCUUCAAAGCCAAAACAAAAUAAUAAUGGGAAGCAUUAUUAGUUAUAAGUACAAAAAAAACCCAAACUCCAAAUGACUGUUCAACAAUAAAACCACAAUUCAUCGUUGGACAAUUUCCGCAAUAAUUAUGGCCAAGAAAAAAAUAACAAUAUUCUACGAGUAGUAUUUGUUCUACGCAAUCAAAAUCGGGCAGGUAGCAGCGGCACAUGUCAAAAGUUGAAAAUAAAAUAGUUAUUUCCUUUUUCGAAAAUUUAACCUCGUGCCCUGUUGACCGAACGCCGAAAAUAUGCUGAACUCUGUCUAAUCCAUAAACGAGGAGAUUGGCCAAGACAAUCGCAAAUGAAUCAACGGGUAGCCUUCAGCCUUCGCUGAAAAACCCGUUAGAACCAGCAGACCAGCAGAAACGUAACUCAGUUGGAAGACGGCCAAGUCGCUUAGCGCCGCACCGAGUCGAUCCGAUACAAGCAUUAACCUAUUUUACUUCCUUACCUCAUAGAUCUCUUGAGAGAGCCCAUAGAAUUCUCGUUUCGAUCUACCAUCUAACUUCCGGCCAGAGGUCCGAGUAACGAACGUGUUUUCAACGUUUUUUUUUCUUACUGUGACUUGUCUAU